ACCUACCUGGCAUAGUCAUAGAGCAUGCGACUCUUGAUCUCUGGGCCAUGAGUUCGAACCUCAUGAUGGGUG
rnacentral:tRNA from 1 species